GACGAACGCUGGCGGCGUGCUUAACACAUGCAAGUCGAACGGAAAGGCCCUGCUUUUGUGGGGUGCUCGAGUGGCGAACGGGUGAGUAACACGUGAGUAACCUGCCCUUGACUUUGGGAUAACUUCAGGAAACUGGGGCUAAUACCGGAUAGGAGCUCCUGCUGCAUGGUGGGGGUUGGAAAGUUUCGGCGGUUGGGGAUGGACUCGCGGCUUAUCAGCUUGUUGGUGGGGUAGUGGCUUACCAAGGCUUUGACGGGUAGCCGGCCUGAGAGGGUGACCGGCCACAGUGGGAGUGGGAUAGGGCCCAGACCCCUACGGGGGGCAGGAGGGGGGAAUAUGGCACAAUGGGGGGAAGCCUGAGGAAGCAACGCCGGGGGGGGGAGGAGGGCCUUGGGGUUGGAACCCGCUUCCGCCUGUGACGAAGCGGGAGGGACGGGAAUGGGUAAAGAAGCACCGGCUAACUACGUG
rnacentral:rRNA from 1 species